CCUCAUUUCAUUUUCUAGCUUGAAUUGGGUUUCAGUCAUUUACGUUGUUUUGUUAAUACUUUUGUGUUUUUCAUUCUAGAGAAAUGUCAUAACACAAUAUAUCAUGCAUACCUUCAAUAAAUACCUGAUUGUAACUGUUUACAUGUGGAUUUUGGGCUCUUCUCGCGAUUGUGCAGGAUCAAGCCUAUGGGGGAUGAAGACGGCCUUUACCCGACCCUGUGUUUGGCAGCUGAAUAAAACAGCUAUCAUCCCACCUUUAGAGGAAUUGAGUGUCUGCGUCAACCUCAUGAGAACGAUUAGCAAUUCUGAAUGGACUGCUUUUGACUACAAAGGUCCAGGUCAACAUCACAUGGAGUUUGGCUUAGCUGGAAAUAUGGGCAAUGUAAUAGCCUCUCUUUUUGGAGAAAAAUGGACAGUUGCUUAUGACAUGCCCAUAAAAAUGUGGCACACAGUUUGUCUGACAUGGUCGAGUCACAAUAGGCUUUUCCAUGUGAUCAUUAAUGAAGCAGUUUUUGAAUUUCCCUUGAAUGAAAAUUCACCCAAGUACCUUGCCGCAAAUGGUACCCUGAGUUUGGGAGUGUCACAUAAUUUUGUUGGAGGUUCUAUUGAUUUUGAGACUGGGAAGAACUUUUUGGGUUACAUGUCCUUGUUCCGGAUGUGGGGAUUGCAGAUGAACCCACAGCAGCUGGAUGCACACAGAUGUGUAGAUGGGAAUAUUGUGACUUGGAGAGAGCAAGAUUGGGAUUAUCAGAAGUGUCCACCCAUUCCCGAUGACAACUUUCUUUGUGGUGAGAAAUUUCUCUCUGUAAAGAGUACAAGACUAUUUAUAGAAGAGGAAAUAUGGAAUGAAUGUUACAAUAACUUGUGUUAUAUGAUGAAAUGCAUUAUUAUCAAUGCAUUCUAA
rnacentral:lncRNA from 12 species